rnacentral:ribozyme from 16 species
CGAUGCCUGUGUUUAUGUAGGGGACAAUACAUCGGGCAUAUGGAAAGUGACGACGAGCGACCGGAUGGAGCCUUUCGCACAAUGAUGAAAACGUUGCGCAAACAUCCAGAGUGGGACGGGGUUACUUCGCUAACCGAUACAAUCGGGUGGGAAGCGGAGGGGAUGGAACGAUACGUU